rnacentral:pre_miRNA from 1 species
UGGUGACCUGAGGCUCCCUGGCUGUCACUCUGUCCCAGGCCCGUCCUGGCCCCAGGGCACAAGCUGAGUUGCAGUAGAAUCUGUACUGGUCCUGACCC